AACGAACGCUGGCGGCAGGCCUAACACAUGCAAGUCGAACGGGUGUAGCAAUACAUCAGUGGCGCACGGGUGAGUAACGCGCGGGAACGUGCCCUUCACUACGGGACACCGUCGGGAAACUGACGCUAAUACCGUAUAAUGUCUCCGGACCAAAGAUUUAGCGGUGAAGGAUCGGCCCGCGUCUGAUUAGCUAGUUGGUGAGGUAAAAGCUCACCAAGGCGACGAUCAGUAGCUGGUUUGAGAGAAUGAUCAGCCACACUGGGUCUGAGACACGGCCCAGACUCCUACGGGAGGCAGCAGUGAGGAAUCUUGGACAAUGGGCGCAAGCCUGAUCCAGCCAUGCCGCGUGAGUGAUGAAGGCCUUAGGGUUGUAAAGCUCUUUUGCCGGGGAUGAUAAUGACCGUACCCGGAGAAUAAGCCACGGCUAAAUUCGUGCCAGCCGCCGCCGUAA
rnacentral:rRNA from 1 species